rnacentral:lncRNA from 1 species
GAAAAAACAGUUGUGAUUGUUUCGUGACCUAGAAACGUAUUUUGACGCGAGAAAAGAUAGCUGCCGAAUUGAAGCUACAUCAAGAUUCAAGCUACACACAAGCCCUUCCAAUUGAUCGAUCACUUUUUGGAUUUUAAGUUUAAUUUAUUUAGCACAUUUUGUGAAAUUCCUUGAAUAAUUUCGAUUUUUUAAAUUAACACUUUGAGAAAUGAGGAAACAUUAACCAGCCCAAAAUCUGUUGUUCCUUCCUGGCCGAUUUGGACGUCGACGUCCGCAUGCAAGUCGUCACUUACAAAUCCUCUUGGACUUUCCCAGGGAAUCUUAUUACUGUGAUCUUAUUGGGGAUAUUUUCAUGGAUCCUACUGUUCUGGAAGUCCGAUAAAAGUGGGAAAAUUCAGAAUCGUCAAUGAUUUUGAAUCCUUGUGCGAAGUUGGAAUCCUGUGAAACGUAGCAUUCGCUACUAACUCAAUUGUGGAAUGUCAAUUUACCUUCAAUUGAAUUACCCAUGAAGUAUUAUUGACUUCUAACUGUCUGUUCGCUGUUUGUGCAAGAUCAUUUGUGUUCAUUUAAGCUAAAAUUCCUUGAAUUUUUUUAUGACACGGAAGUGUGGGAAGUAGAGAGGACAGAAAAUUCUUCUGUUUCAAAGAAAAAUGUGCUGUGUUCUUUCUGUUUUGGAACUGCAGCUGUACAUACGAAAACAUCUUGGAUAAAAGUAGGUUUUUGUGCUCAAAUUUAUCGGGAUUAGUUAAAGUGUGUUUUAUGGUCUAUUAACUCAAUUGGGGAAUGUCAAUUUUCCGCAAUUUUCAUCCAUUGAAUAACCAAUGAAACAUUGCCUCCUAACUGUUAGCAUUGGACUGUGUGUAUGCUGUUUGUACAAGAUCAUUUCUAAAAGAAAUAACGAGAAUAACUGAAUGUAAGUAACCAUCUGUUUUCAGAUCUUUCUUAUUAGGUAAACUUUUUAAAUGGAAAUUCUAUUCAAUAAAGUAUAAUGGGAAUUGUAUUUUAUUUGUCCCACCUCUUACUACCAAUUUUUUUAUCAAGACAGAAGGUUUCAGUACCAACUGAAAAUAACUAUUACAGCAAAAAAUGUCUCAGGCUUACGCCUACAAAUAACAACAAAUCAUAGAAUUCCAUGUGAAUCCUGCCACAAUGUUACUUAGUUACUUGCCAAACCGACUAACAUUGAGCCGUUGUCGCUGUUAUUUGGAUACCUGAAAUACAUGUUAUGUUGGAUGGGUUUCCGUACUUGGAAGAGUUAAGUAGCCUAUGACUCUGGGACUGCCGGUCUUGAAGAAUACCUGCAAAUCUUUGCAUUCUUUCUUAUCCUAAUAGACGGACGUUUUCCUAUUUUUAUAUGCUAUGAACAUUCGAAAUCAUUAACAAAUUCCGCCA